AAUAGAUACCCGGGUAGUCCACGCCGUAAACGAUGAGUGCUAAGUGUUGGGGGGGUUUCCGCCCCCUCAGUGCUGCAGCUAACGCAUUAAGCACUCCGCCUGGGGAGUACGGUCGCAAGACUGAAACUCAAAGGAAUUGACGGGGGCCCGCACAAGCGGUGGAGCAUGUGGUUUAAUUCGAAGCAACGCGAAGAACCUUACCAGGUCUUGACAUCCCGGUGACCACUAUGGAGACAUAGUUUCCCCUUCGGGGGCAACGGUGACAGGUGGUGCAUGGUUGUCGUCAGCUCGUGUCGUGAGAUGUUGGGUUAAGUCCCGCAACGAGCGCAACCCUUAUUCUUAGUUGCCAUCAUUCAGUUGGGCACUCUAAGGAGACUGCCGGUGAUAAACCGGAGGAAGGUGGGGAUGACGUCAAAUCAUCAUGCCCCUUAUGACCUGGGCUACACACGUGCUACAAUGGACGGUACAAACGGUUGCCAACCCGCGAGGGGGAGCUAAUCCGAUAAAACCGUUCUCAGUUCGGAUUGUAGGCUGCAACUCGCCUACAUGAACG
rnacentral:rRNA from 1 species